ACCGGCAGCUCAAGUGGUGGCCAUUUUUAUUGGGCCUAAAGCGUUCGUAGCCGGUUUGAUAAGUCUCUGGUGAAAUCCCGCAGCUUAACUGUGGGACUUGCUGGAGAUACUAUUAGACUUGAGGUCGGGAGAGGUUAGGGGUACUCCCAGGGUAGGGUUUAAAUCCAACAAUCCUGGGAGGGACACCUGAGGGGAAGGCGCCCAACUGGGACUAGCCUGACGAUGAGUAACGAAAUUCAUGGUCGCGAGCCG
rnacentral:rRNA from 1 species